GUGUGUGUGUGUGUGUGUGUGUGUGUGUGUGUGUGUGUGUGGGAUGCUGUAUGUGUGUGUGUGUGCUGUGUGUGUGUGUGUGUGUGUGUGUGUGUGUGUGUGUGUGUGUGAGAGAGAGAGAGGUGUGUGAGAACCCCUCCCACACUCACACCCCUCACACACUCAGCACCCCUCACACACAGCACCCCUCACACACA